UACGGGGGGGGCAAGCGUUGUUCGGAAUUACUGGGCGUAAAGGGCUCGUAGGUGGCCCACUAAGUCAGACGUGAAAUCCCUCGGCUUAACCGGGGAACUGCGUCUGAUACUGGAUGGCUAGAGUUUGGGAGAGGGAUGCGGAAUUCCAGGUGUAGCGGUGAAAUGCGUAGAUAUCUGGAGGAACACCGGUGGCGAAGGCGGCAUCCUGGACCAACACUGACGCUGAGGAGCGAAAGCCAGGGGAGCAAACGGG
rnacentral:rRNA from 1 species